CGCGUAGGUGGUAGUGUAAGUCUGGGGUGGAAUCCCAGGGCUCAACCCUGGAACUGCCUUGGAAACUGCAUUACUUGAGUCAGUGAGGGGAGGGUAGAAUUCCUGGUGUAGCGGUGAAAUGCGUAGAUAUCAGGAGGAAGGCCUGUGGCGAAGGCGGCCCUCUGGCGCUGGACUGACACUGAGGCGCGAAAGCGUGGGGAGCAAACAGGAUCAGAUACCCUGGUAGUCCACGCCCUAAACGGUGGGCACUAGGUGUAGGGCUCGUAAGGGUUCUGUGCCGAAGGGAAACCAUUAAGUGCCCCGCCUGGGGAGUACGGCCGCAAGGUUGAA
rnacentral:rRNA from 1 species